CCUGGUGGCUCAGAUGGUAAAAGCAUCUGUUUGCAAUGCAGGAAGACCCAGGUUCCAUCCCUGGGUCAGGA
rnacentral:tRNA from 1 species